UAGGGAAUCUUCCGCAAUGGACGCAAGUCUGACGGAGCAACGCCGCGUGAGUGAAGAAGGAUUUCGGUUCGUAAAACUCUGUUGUUAGAGAAGAACAGCGCAUAGAGUAACUGUUAUGCGUGUGACGGUAUCUAACCAGAAAGCCACGGCUAACUACGUGCCAGCAGCCGCGGUAAUACGUAGGUGGCAAGCGUUGUCCGGAUUUAUUGGGCGUAAAGCGAGCGCAGGCGGUCAAUUAAGUCUGAUGUGAAAGCCCCCGGCUCAACCGGGGAGGGUCAUUGGAAACUGGUUGACUUGAGUGCAGAAGAGGAGAGUGGAAUUCCAUGUGUAGCGGUGAAAUGCGUAGAUAUAUGGAGGAACACCAGUGGCGAAGGCGACUCUCUGGUCUGUGACUGACGCUGAGGUUCGAAAGCGUGGGUAGCAAACAGG
rnacentral:rRNA from 1 species